rnacentral:lncRNA from 1 species
AAGCAAUUUAAAUAGAUCUGUCCCAACCAUGCAAUUACAGGAGCUGAUGACGUUUCAGAAACAGUGACAAAGUUCAGAAUCCCAUUCUUCCAUCCUAGAUGGGAAACAUCAACUUUCCUGAUGGUGAGUUUGUCAGAGUCCAUUCCCAAGAGUGGGGGUGGGGAGGUGGGGGUGGAGGCUGUUGACAGGCAAUGAUUUCUGUGGAGUAGAAGAGAGGAAAAGAGAAAAAGAAUUUGUUAGUUGUAACAGACACUUCGGUUAAUUGGUCUUCAUCCACCUUUUCCUUGCCUGCCUCUCAAUAUAGAUGCUGAAAAAGCAAGAUACUCAUUUUUUCCAGCCACCCUUGCAGAGCCAGAAAGCCCAUGAGAUUCAAUAGAUGUAAGACUGAGAGAGAUUUUCAUUCCUGGAUGAAAGGAGACAGGCCUGGGAGAAGAGUUUUCUCUUGCCAUCUUUGCAGUCUCUCCACUCCUGACGUGUACAGGGUCAGGUAAAGACUUGCUGUCUAGAAGUGUGGCAAUGAUUGGGUGGCCAUGAAUCAUGAAACUUAAAGACAAAAACUAAACAUGCUGCAGAUUUGGAGUGGAAGGAAAGAAAGAGCAUGGGACCCAUGACCAGUCUGGGAAAAUCUACCUCUGAACAUCUUAUUAAGUACACAUUGAAUGUCCUUCCUUAGCAAGUAGGUUGUUCCUGCCAGGUCUCGUAUCCCUCAGUCUUGAAGAACAUACACUGACACAGAUGAGUGGGAUGCACAAAAUCAUAGGGAUUCAAGAAAGGUAACCCCAAAGAAACUCAAAGACAAUACAACUCUUAACAGUUAUAUUAUGAAUAACCAGUCUCAAACUUAGCAUGUUAGUUCUUGGAAAUAUUUACCUGGCAGAGUAAGAACCCGCUGGGACAAUUACAGGGUUCUUCAGCCACUGAAUCGAUUUUAAAUCAGUUUCUGUCUGGGAGAAAUUUGGAAUAUCUCCUUCAUUGAGAAGGGGCACAAUAAGCACAGCUAUAAAAAUCAAGGAAACCAUGAAAAUAGUUUCUUAUAUUAAUACAGCAAACAUAUUCCUGAAGGGAUUGAUAAUUUCAUUUUGUUUUUAAUAAUAAUUAAUCUUUGCAAUAUCCUGGUGGAGAGAUGGAGAGAUAAAGGAUGAUUACUACCACUUUAGAGGGGGAAAGAUAGAAAGGACAUGACAUUAAAUGAUUACCUGUAAGCCAUAGUUAAAAUGUAGCCCCAUGUAGACAGCCAGUAAGACAGCAGAGGUAAGAUUCCAGAUAGCUUAAGUUGCAGUCUGGCCUCUGUCCCUCAGGCACUCUCUCUAAUGACUCAGCAGGUCCCAAUGAGUCACUCAGUGCCUUGCACCUCCCAGAAACUAGGCUAGGAUAUAAAGAGAACACAGAUUUAAAAAGAAAACCAAACUAACUCAUUCAAACCAUUGUAAUUAAGGCAAUCUAGUCAUUUUUUGACUCUUAAACCUUUAGAAUAAAAAGGCAGCAAAGGAGAAAAAACGAAAUAAGGAAAUCACCAAUAUAAAGAAAUAUACAAGAAUACUUAAAUGUCAGCAAUAUUGUCAAACAACUUCUACAAAGUAAGCAAAAAUGGAGUAACUAGAAGUAGCAGAGGAGAGAAAUAUCAUAAAUAUGUUAAGCAUUGAGAGUUAGCUAGGGUUGUCAGCAAAUAAAACUUUUUGUUUGUUAAUAUGGCAUGCUAUAACUCUUUCAAAAUAACGUAAGUGGCUUGAAAUAAAGUCUACAUAAGCCACAUGGCCUUUAGAAUAUAAAUAACACUGCCUGAGUGUAAACCCUUGCCUUGCCACUUACUAGCAGUGCCAUUUAGCUUCUCACUGCCUUAACUUUACUGAUUAAGAUUUCUGUUGGCUGCUGUGGCAAAUGUCACACACUUAGUGACUUCAAAUAACCCAGAUGUAUCAUCUGACAGGGUGGAGAUGGUAAGUGCAGCAUAGGUCUCAUUGAGCUAAAAUGUACAUGUUCAAAGCACUGAGUUCCUUCCUAGAGACUCUUGUAGAGAAUCUGUUUACUUGCUCAUUUAGGUUGCUGGCAGAAUUUAGUUCUUGGAGGUUGUAGAACUGAGAUCCUCAUUUCCCCAUUCCUAAGUUCCAAAGGCCAUCCACAUUCUUUGGCUCAGGGCCUCUCCUUCAUCUUCAAAGCCAGCAAUGGCAGGUCCAACUCUUGUCAGACUUUGCAUCUUUCUCCCUCUUCCUGACUUCAGCCAGAAAAGAUAACCUGCUGUGAAAGAUUCAGGUGAUUAGAUUGUCUGCAUUUAGAUAAAUCCAGGAUAAUCUCCCCAUCUCAAGAUCCUUAACUUAAUCACACCUGCAAAGUUCCUUUUGUCAGAAAAGGCAAUAUACUCACAGUUUCUGGGGAUUAAGAUGUGGAUAUGUUUGGGGGCCAUUAUUCUGCCUAUCACACUCAAAGCUCCCUAUCUGAUUUCUAAAAUCUUCUUGCUCUAUUACCAGUGUAAACUACUAUUUCUGGAUUUUCUUGUUUAGGUUAGACCUUAGCAUUAGGGCAUUAACUGUUGACUAACUUUCAUAAAUGUAAUGCUUUAAUUCUUUUAUAUAACCACACACUCACACACAUACAUAUUGUUUCUUCUCUCAUUCUCCCAAAAGUGUUAUAUCCCAAUUCUUGGAGGUAUUCAAAUUAUUAUAAGCCAGUAAAUAUUUUUAUAACUAAAACAUAUAUUGUGCUAUGAUUAUUUUUUCCUGUAUAACUUUUCUUGUACAACUGCAGUCUCAUUAUUUGUCACAUGUUUUUCAUUCACUUAAUUUUCUAUGUAUUGGUCAUCUUUGAAGUUUUCAUCAGAAUUGGAAAUUAUUUCUCAGUACAUUGAAACACAACAGAUAAUCUAUCCAUUUUUCUUUCUUCUUGAAACAUCCCUACUUGUCCUCAUGCUUUUUCCUUUGAACUUGGAUGGAUUUCUCUCUAGUCUACUAUAGCUACUAACCUUAAGAUAUCCUUAAGUUACUCUUUGUAUCACUCCCGGUGAUACUUAGUGAGUUAUCUUAUUAUCACUCCCAGGAUUCCCUUCAUAUUUCUCCUAUGUUGGGGAUCACCUGUCUCUGGGUUUACUCCCUCUUUUUGUUGGAGCACAUCCUCCAAUAGGUCCCUGAGAAAAAGUGCAUGAUUAUUUUUUCUUUUUUAGUUUGAAUGCUUUAAAAUCUCUUUAUUCCACUCAUUUGUAUGUCUAUUUGUUUACUGGUUAGGCUGUGUGUAGUAUUCUGGGUUGGAAAUCUGUCUCCAGAACAAAGCUGAGAUUUGUGGGGGUAUGGUGUGGCCAGUGGCCUACAUGGCAUGUCAUAGCAAUGGAGUGACAGAGAAGGAUACUUGUGAAGAGAGAGUUAACCAGAAUGAUGUCUCCCCAAGAACAUUCUCAGGAAGAUCACUUUCAGAAGAGAAUAGACAUGGUACUUGAGGAUCUGAGAACUAAUUCUUUUAAACUAUCCAUACCUGCUUACUUAAGAGAACUUUACAUGUAUUUAACCUCUAGACUUUCAUGUACUUACCCCAGUUUGCAUACUGCUGUUCUAAAACAUCAAAUCUUCCUGGAAAUGUGGGAACCAAGAGGUAGAGAGACAUAAAUACCAGACUCCCUUUCUUCUUUACUUAUCUCCCAAAACCAGAGACAAAAAGCUUUAGCUAUUUUUUUCUUCUGUAUCACAUCCUUUUCCCACCCUAUAGAACACCAGUAAAAGUGGUUAGGUGGCCUCUUUGUGAUUUUGAUGUUCAGUAACCUAAAUUUCUCUAGAUUAUAGAAUCCAGAAUACUCAGAUAUGGCCAUGAGUGAUGACAAUUGUCCUUUAUUAUUGUUCGUUUUAAAAUUUAUAUUAGAGGCCAGGUGCAGUAGCUCAUGCCUAUAAGCCCAGUACUUUGGGAGGCCGAGGCAGAAGGUUCACUUGAGCCCAGGAGUUCGAGACCAGCGUGGGCAACAUGGCCAGACCCCAACUCCAUUAAAAAAUAUAUAAAUUAGCCAGGUUUGGUGGUACUACUUGGGAGGCUGAGAUGGGAGGAUUGCUUGAGCCUGGGAGGUUGAG